GAUGAAGAACGUAGCGAAAUGCGAUAAUUAAUGUGAAUUGCAGAAUUCCGUGAAUCAUCGAGUCUUUGAACGCACAUUGCGCCUCAUGGCAUUCCGUGAGGCAUGCCCAUCUCAGCGUUAGAAAAUAUUCUCAAAUUUUAGUUUUGUGCUAAAAUUUGGAUCCUGUCAAGUAAGCUAUUACUAUUAUUGUGAUCGCUCUUUGGAAAUUGAUAGGUCUUUGAGUUGCUACUCAUAGAACGUGAUGAAUCUUUCUUCGUUCUAUUGUAAUUCACUCUGGUAGUCCUAAAACUUGUAUGCCUGUGGCAUAUCUUGUAAUUUGACCUGAGAUUGGGUAGGGAUACCCGCUGAACUUAAGCAUAUCAAUAAGCGGAGGA
rnacentral:misc_RNA from 1 species